rnacentral:lncRNA from 1 species
UAUUUUUCACUGCUCAUGGUCUCUCGAUGGACUGACGAAGGCCAAAACUAGUGACAAUGGGGAGCAUGGUGAGAGAAGGCCGUCGCGGACGAUUGUUGGAGAAGGAGAAGAAAGGUUUCGAACAUCGAGAAGGGGGGCCAUUGCAUCAUUGGCCAGUGAAGGAGGCCGUCAUGGGCGAUCGUUAGGAAGGGGAGGGGAUAGGAGGCUGUCGGGGGGCA